GAUGAACGCUGGCGGCGUGCCUAAUACAUGCAAGUCGAGCGAACAGACGAGGAGCUUGCUCCUCUGACGUUAGCGGCGGACGGGAGAGUAACACGUGGAUAACCUCCCUAUAAGACUGGGAUCACUUCGGAAAACCGGCGAUUAUCCCGGAUAAUAUAUUGAACCGCGUGGUGCAAUAGUGAAAGACGGUUUUUGUGUCACUUCUCGAUGCAUCCCAGCCGGAUUAGCUGGUUGGUAAGUUAAAGGCUUACCAAGGCAACGAGGCGUAUCCGACCUGACAGGGUGGUCGGCGACACUGGAACGUAGACGCGGUCCAUACUCCUACGAGAGGCAGCAGUAGGGUAUCGGACGCAGUGGGCGAAAGCCUGACGGAGCAGCGCCGCGUGAGAGAUGGAGGUGUUGCGAGCGUAAAGCUCUGUUAUUAGGGAAGAACAAAUUUGUAAUUAACUAUGCACGGCUUGACGGUACCUAAUCAGAAAGCCACGGCUAACUACGUG
rnacentral:rRNA from 1 species